UACGGAGGGUGCGAGCGUUAAUCGGAAUUACUGGGCGUAAAGCGCGCGUAGGCGGCUUUGUAAGUCAGGGGUGAAAUCCCACGGCUCAACCGUGGCAUUGCCUUUGAUACUGCAGAGCUUGAGUUCGGGAGAGGGUGGUGGAAUUCCAGGUGUAGGAGUGAAAUCCGUAGAGAUCUGGAGGAACAUCAGUGGCGAAGGCGACCACCUGGCCCGAUACUGACGCUGAGGUGCGAAAGCGUGGGUAGCAAACAGG
rnacentral:rRNA from 1 species